AGUGUAGAUUCAGAGUUUGAUCCUGGCUCAGAGUGUACGCUGGCGGCGUGCUUAACACAUGCAAGUCGAACGGACUUAAGGGGCUUGCUUCUUAAGUUGGUGGCGCACGGGUGAGUAAUACAUAGCUAACCUGCCCUUUAGUGGGGGACAACAGUUGGAAACGACUGCUAAUACCCCAUACUCCUUCUUACUAUAAGGUAAGUCGGGAAAGAUUUAUCGCUAAAGGAUGGGGCUUUAUUGUAUCAGCUAGUUGGUGAGGUAAUGGCUCACCAAGGCUAUGACGCAUACCUGGUCUGAGAGGAUGAUCAGGCACACUGGAACUGAGACACGGUCCAG
rnacentral:rRNA from 1 species